CCUACGGGGUGCAGCAGUGAGGAAUAUUGGUCAAUGGGCGAGAGCCUGAACCAGCCAAGUCGCGUGAGGGAGUACUGCCCUAUGGGUUGUAAACCUCUUUUGUCGGGGAGCAAAAGCCGGACGUGUCCGGCUGUUAGAGUUCCCGCAGCAAAAGCAUCGGCUAACUCCGUGCCAGCAGCCGCGGUAAUACGGAGGCUGCGAGCGUUAUCCGGAUUUAUUGGGGUUAAAGGGUUCGCAGGCGGAUUUUUAAGUCAGCGGUCAAAUCGUGGGGGUAAAGCCCAUCCAGCCGUUGAAACUGGUGAUCUAGAGUGUGCGAGAGGUAUGCGGAAUGCGUGGUGUAGCGGUGAAAUGCAUAGAUAUCACGCAGAACCCCGAUUGCGAAGGCAGCAUACCGGUGCACAACUGACGCUCAGGCACGAAAGCGUGGGUAUCGAACAGGAUUAGAUACCCGGGUAGUC
rnacentral:rRNA from 1 species